CGGUUUACAGGGUUAGUUCCCCAUAAUUCACUGCCAAACAAACACAUAUACAGCUUACAGAAGGGAUACAUCUAUAGAAAUAAAUCAGAAAAUCUCACUUUAACAUAUAUGUUAUGUCAAUAUUUUAUAAUCUACUUUAUUGGCCUCAUGAUUAAUACAUAUAAACUAGUUUGUGUACAUCCCCCUUCUCUAAUCUGGCAUUACCAUCUCCCUCUGCUUAGAUUUCAAUAGAGAUCUUAAUUUAGCUAGAGAGAUUAGUCAGUCACGUUAAUGAUACAUUGUUCUGGGUUUGCUCUCCUCUGGAUUCCUCAGAUUGCGGCACCAGAAAAAUAUUAUUCCAUAUUCAAUGCUCCUGAGUCUGCUCUUCCCUGGGUUCCUCGGAUUGUGACAGUUAUUCCAUUU